rnacentral:rRNA from 1 species
UACGUAGGCAGCAAGCGUUGUUCGGAGUUACUGGGCGUAAAGAGUAUGUAGGUGGUUUCGUAAGUUUGGUGUGAAAUCUCCCGGCUCAACUGGGAGGGUGCGCCGAAAACUGCGAGGCUAGAGUGCGGGAGAGGAGAGCGGAAUUCCUGGUGUAGCGGUGAAAUGCGUAGAUAUCAGGAGGAACACCUGCGGUGUAGACGGCUCUCUGGACCGUUACUGACACUGAGAUACGAAAGCGUGGGGAGCAAACAGG